rnacentral:rRNA from 1 species
AGUGAACGCUGGCGGUAGGCCUAACACAUGCAAGUCGAACGGCAGCACAGUAAGAGCUUGCUCUUACGGGUGGCGAGUGGCGGACGGGUGAGGAAUACAUCGGAAUCUACUUUUUCGUGGGGGAUAACGUAGGGAAACUUACGCUAAUACCGCAUACGACCUACGGGUGAAAGCAGGGGAUCUUCGGACCUUGCGCGAUUGAAUGAGCCGAUGUCGGAUUAGCUAGUUGGCGGGGUAAAGGCCCACCAAGGCGUCGAUCCGUAGCUGGUCUGAGAGGAUGAUAAGCCACACUGGAACUGAGACACGGUCCAGACUCCUACGGGAGGCAGCAGUGGGGAAUAUUGGACAAUGGGCGCAAGCCUGAUCCAGCCAUACCGCGUGGGUGAAGAAGGCCUUCGGGUUGUAAAGCCCUUUUGUUGGGAAAGAAAAGCAGCAGGUUAAUACCCCGCUGUUCUGACGGUACCCAAAGAAUAAGCACCGGCUAACUUCGUG